rnacentral:rRNA from 1 species
CCCUUAGAUGUUCUGGGCCGCACGCGCGCUACACUGACAGAGCCAACGAGUUCUUCACCUUGGCCGGAAGGUCUGGGUAAUCUUGUUAAACUCUGUCGUGCUGGGGAUAGAGCAUUGCAAUUAUUGCUCUUCAACGAGGAAUGCCUAGUAAGCGCGCGUCAUCAGCACGCGUUGAUUACGUCCCUGCCCUUUGUACACACCGCCCGUCGCUCCUACCGAUUGAAUGAUCCGAUGAAUAUCAUGGAUUGAGGAUGCAAGCAGGUUCGCCUGUCUUCAUCUUCGAGAAGUGAAGUAAAUCUUAUCAUUUAGAGGAAGGAGAAGUCGUAACA